GACCUGGGCAUUUAUUGCUCGACUACAGAAGACUGGCUUUCCCCAGGGUUCAUUUGUGUGGUAAUACAUUUCAUCCCGGCGAACAAUCAGAAAAUCAAAUUGACUUUGGGAGUUAUUACUUUGCAGAUUUACAGAUGUUACAGCCUCAUCCCCCUUUGCUUCCAGAAAGCAUGUUGCAGCAGAAAAUGCCGCAUCUGUGUGAAAUGGAGUGUCAGCAACAGUUAGGGUACUUGCCCAGAGUAGCCAGAGGUAGCAGGUCCAUUUUGAGCUGGCGUGAACUGCCUGAUACAGCUGAGCUUGUGUCCUUUCAACUUAACAGCAUAGACAUCUCUCUGGAAACC